rnacentral:misc_RNA from 1 species
AUUUAUUGCAUCUACAACUAAAGUUUCUGUACAAUCCAAGGUUACUUUAUUAUUACUUUGAUCUUUAUUAGAUGGACAAAUAGUGGCCAGUGUCAUCGAGUGUGAAACGUUUAUUUUUUUGAUAAACUUCCAAAUCUCAAUCUUAUAAAAAUGUAUGUAGUUAACUGUGGUAUAGCAGGAAAUUUUCUGCUCAAAAUAAACUGGGGUGCUUUGACCUUUCCAGAAGACCUUCGACCUUUACAGAAGAUCACAGCUAAAUAAUUCUACUUUCAAGCAAUUUUGUCUUCUUGUUGGUGAGUAAAGUGACCAAAGCUCCUGUGUCGGCAACGUAGUUGCUAUGCUUCUGGUGUUGCAGAGGUCUAUAAGCUACGGUAAACUCUUGCCAUCAGCGUGCGGGCUCUUGAUGUAUUGCUCAACGAUUUGCUUCCAGCGACGUCGACAGAGCCAUCCUCGAAAGAAGCUCUUUGAAUACAAGAUAUAUAUUUUCAAAAUAUCCGUAAUUAUUAUUAUAAUCUAAUUUGUUUUAGGUAAACAAUAAGC